AUCAUUAACCCGACACUAUACUUCUUAUGAUACAUCCACCAACUAAAGCAGAAGAUAUUUGGUUGAUGAAAAUGAUUGAAAAAGCUCGUCUCAUUUGUUUGUUCCAUUUGCAGGGCUUGCAGUCGCAUGAUAUUCGGAUUUGAAGCUAAUUCUAAGCUAGAAGCCAUUCUUGGAAUUAAUUGAGUCCAAGAAUUUUGAAGCACUAAUGAUACAAUUCUUUAGAAUUAGUCGAGAUCAUAUUCACUUCAUCUGAGAUGAAGUGAAUCUCUGGUUUGAUGAUCGACAGACCAUGCAUACCGAGAGAUGCAUGGACGUGGCAAGAAUAUACCUCUGAUAUCAAGUCGCAGUCCAGAACAGGGGACAGCUGUGACACUGCCUAUUUGGAUGCUUGAUGCGGCAGAGCUGAAUAGGUUGCGGUGGCGGUCGGCGGAAUGUAGGCGAUCUUAUAUCAGGGUGAUUUGACGAUUAAGUGGAGGAAUUUGUUUAGGUUUAAAAGCGCUAAAUUUUAUUAAUUAACAGUUUUUGCUUAAAAUUAGCUAAUUACAUCAACCGUAAACGGUUAUUUUGGUUCAUGG
rnacentral:lncRNA from 1 species